GUUUCAAUCCCCAAAGGGAAGGCUACAAAC
rfam:Caldicellulosiruptor saccharolyticus DSM 8903, complete genome.